CAAUUGAUUUGGCCAGGAGACAGUAGUCCCCACUCCCCGCCCAAAAAUUACCCACCCACUCUGUACUCUCUAUAUUUCCUCCACAAAAACUCUUUUGAAUCGUUUGAAACCAUGAACUCAAGCUCUCCUUCCAUGGCUAACAACAACUCAACACCUACCGACUCUUCUGGCAAAAAGGUUCGGAAACCUUACACCAUAACUAAGUCUAGAGAAAGCUGGACUGAAGAAGAACACGACAAGUUCCUUGAAGCUCUUCAACUGUUUGACCGUGAUUGGAAGAAAAUUGAGGAUUUUGUAGGCUCAAAGACAGUAAUUCAGAUUCGCAGUCAUGCUCAAAAGUACUUCUUGAAGGUCCAGAAGAAUGGUACAACAGCACACGUGCCACCACCUCGGCCCAAGCGUAAAGCAGCUCAUCCUUAUCCCCAGAAGGCACCAAAAAAUGUUUUAGUACCAUUGCAAGCCUCUAUGGGUUACCCUUCUUCAAUGAAUUCCCUUCCACCUGGAUAUCCAUCAUGGGAUGACACUUCCGUACUCUUAAAUUCUCCAUCUGGCGGAACAAUGCCAUCACAAGAUGAAUACCAUUUUCAAAGAAUUCAGGCUGAUAUUGGAUCAAAGGGAGCUACAUUGAUUAGUAACAGCGGCAUUAGAAGUUCCAGCAGAACGGCGCCGAGUUCUGAACUACCAGAGCAGAGCAAACUAGGUUCUGUUCCUCAUGGCAUACCAGACUUUGCAGAAGUCUAUAGCUUUAUUGGGAGUGUCUUUGACCCAGACACUAAAGGUCAUGUACAGAAGCUGAAGGAGAUGGACCCUAUUAACUUUGAAACUGGAUUUGAAAGUUUCAGCUGGGGAGUUUUAGAUGGGGGUCAAUGUUUUGUUGUUGAUGCGAAAUCUUACAAUGAACUUGUCGAGCCCUGACUUUGAGCCCAUUAAAAAUGUAUUGUCAACAUAUGAUCUCAGUACAAAAGUCGCGGGCCUUCCUACAGGUGGUGCUGUCAAGAACCACAAUGAUUUAUCAUGUCAGACAAUAUGAUAAAAACAGUUAUUUAUAUUCGUCGGUGAGACUUUCUCCAACAACGGUGAGUCUAUGCGCUCUUGCUUUCUAAGAGCUUGAAAAAAUGUUCAUCACUGGAAAAGUCUCAAGAGUCGUGUCAUGGAUAACAGCGUUACAGCAUCUUCCCCUGGUUUCUCCUUGAUGCUCAGUGGUCAAGGAGAAUGUUCCUUUUAGAAGUUGAGCUUCUCCUAGUGAGAAGCGUGCCCAAGCCUUGAUAUCAUGUGUUUUUACCCCUAAAAUGUAUAUUCCCUCAAUUUUGUGCAGCUUAAUAUUUGGAGGUGGUGUAAAACUUGUAGCUUUUAGAGCAAUAAUAAGGAGGAAAAAGUUCUUGUACCGCAUUGCCUGUUGAAGUAUGGAUUUAGGAAAUACACUCGGGCCGUGCUUUAGUUGGCCUUGUUGCAGAUUAAAGUUAAA